GGCUGGUCGGCAUGCACUGCUGUUUAUAACUAAUUGAUCACAACCAGUUACAUGUUUGUUUCUUGUCUACUCCCUUGACUAGCCUUAA
rnacentral:sRNA from 1 species